UCUCUCACUUCUUCUUCUUACUUCCUUCUCUUCUUCUACUGUUGUGUGAGGUUUGAUUUGGGAGAGUUUAUCGAAGAGAAUUAGUUGAUGAAGAUGUAUGGAUGAUGAAGGAGAUGAUGUGGUUGCAGUCAUGGUGGAAAAAUCAUUCAGAGAUCAGCGAAUUAAAGUAGGGAGAACUGAAUUAGGGUUUUGUGAUUUAGGUUUGAUUUUGUAUAGAAUUGAUAAGUUAUUGGGUUGUUGUUUGACGAAGAGCAGAAGGGUUGAGGUUGAAAUGAAGAUCUGAAGUCGUUCUAAUGAUGAUUGAAAACUAGGUUUUAACGUUCUUCCCCAAAUUGAGAAUUAGGGACUCACGGGAAAGCUUUAGGAAGAAUUAAAGGAUGGAAUAAAAAGAUUUGAGAUGAGUAUUGAAUAAUUGGGAGCAUGAGAAUGAAGUUGCAUGUGAAAUCAAAGUCUCAGAUGAUGAAAUUGGCGAUGGUGAUGAAUUUCGGAUCUAGAACGAUAAUUUUAGGGUUUUAAUUGAAGUAAGUGGUGAAGUAAUAAUUCAGAGGAUGCUGAUACUUGGGUAAAUUUCCGAUUUGUCUUAAUUAUAGUAGCUUGAGUUGAAUUGGUUUGUUUUCAUAGUAUGUGUAGAUUGGAAGUGAACUGAGGUUGAUGUGGGAAUAGAUUUGGAGGUGAACUGGUGGUGUUAAUGUAUGAUUUGUAGAUAUGAAGUUAAAUGUGGAACUGAUAUUGGUAGUGUUGAAGGAUAACUGAAGUUUGAAUGUAACUCUCAAAUAGAGUCAGGUGGUAUUGCUGCUGCCGAGGGAGUUGUUGUGAUUGCAGGUGCAAUUGAAAUGAGAAACAUACAGGUCUUUGAGUUGUGUUACAUGUAAAGUGUGGUGGAAUGGGUUCUUAGGUUUGAAUUGUUGGUGGUUGAGUAAUGAUGGUGUUUUGGUCUAUGUGGAUUAGUAUUGUUGUGGAUAUCAGGAAGGAGGAAUGAGAUGUUAAUGUGGAGUUUUGAGUGGAUUGAAGUUCUUUUAGAUGAAUGCUAGUUUAGAAUGGAAUUUGAACUAUUGUUACAGAUGGAGAUUGGGUUGUAGUUAAAAUUAGUCCAAGAACCAGAACUAGUAUGAAGUUGGAAUUAGAGUUAGUGGUAUUGUUAUAGUUUUAAUUAAUCUGAACUGGAAAUUCAGUUUUAGUGUACAGUGUUGUUUGAAUUCACAUGAGAAGUGAAGGUGUUGCAAGAUUGUUUGUUGUUGCAGAAGUGAUGAUGGAAUUGGUAACUGUUUGGUGAAAGCCUGAGAUCAGUUAACAGUUAGUCUUUAUUGUCGACGAUCGAUUCAAGGAUAUACUGGUGGAUUGAGGAUCUCGAGGUGGGAGAGGCUUUGUCAUCAAACCAGUUUCACUUUUCAGAAGAGAUGGUGUGCUUGAAGGCAUCCGAUUCCGUAGUUUAAAUCGAUAGUCGAUUAAGAACGUUUUGUAUCUUUCAGAUAUAUGAAUUAUUGUUGUUUGUAAAACAAUACACUUAUAUAUUAAUAUCUUUUGGGAGUUUCAUC